AUUGAACGCUGGCGGCAUGCUUUACACAUGCAAGUCGAACGGCAGCACGGACUUCGGUCUGGUGGCGAGUGGCGAACGGGUGAGUAAUACAUCGGAACGUACCCAGUAAUGGGGGAUAACUAUCCGAAAGGAUAGCUAAUACCGCAUACGCCCUACGGGGGAAAGAGGGGGAUCGCAAGACCUCUUGUUAUUGGAGCGGCCGAUGGCUGAUUAGCUAGUUGGCGAGGUAAAGGCUCACCAAGGCGACGAUCAGUAGCGGGUCUUAGAGGACGAUCCGCCACACUGGAACUGAGACACGGUCCAGACUCCUACGGGAGGCAGCAGUGGGGAAUCUUGGACAAUGGGCGCAAGCCUGAUCCAGCAAUGCCGCGUGCGUGAAGAAGGCCUUCGGGUUGUAAAGCGCUUUUGUCAGGGAGCAAAUCCUUGUGGCUAAUACCCACCGGGGAUGAGAGUACCUGAAGAAUAAGGACCGGCUAACUACGUGCCAGCAGCCGCGGUAA
rnacentral:rRNA from 1 species